GCCUCCCUCCGCCGCCACUCCACGACCUACCGACCGGGGGCGGACGGCGAGGUAGGGGUAAGGUUUUGGUCGGUCAAGUAGGGGAAACCGUACGGACGCAGCACGCCGCGGUGGAGGGAGUAGAAAUCCUUGGAUGUAACUCCUCUCGGAUAGGGAAGAUAAUGACGGUACCUAUAGAAGAAGCCCGGCUAACUUCGUGCCAGCAGCCGCGGUAAUUC
rnacentral:rRNA from 1 species